ACUACAUCACAUUGUAGUGUUUAUGGUUUUUGGAGCAUUCCUUACUAAGUCUAAAAUGCUAGAAACAUUUACUGCACAAUUUGAACAACGGAGUUAUCCAACUAUUUAGAGAAACACAAUUUCUCAUACCGCAAAGACCUCUGUUUAACCCCUUAAGGACCAAACUUCUGGAAUAAAAGGGAAUCGUGACAUGUCACACAUCAUGUGUCCUUAAGGGGUUAAAGUAUUCCGAUUCCAUUAAACCUGAUUUUCAUCUUGGAUUACUCUGGUGCAUUAAUAUUGAGCACUUUUUCUUUUUCG